CGUAUCCCAGGACUCAACUGCUGGCCAGCCUGUGCUCGCUCUGCUCCUGCUCCAGCCACAACUCGCUUCCGGGACUCGGUCCGCCCUCAGUCUGCUCCCCGCUUCGGUCUCCAUCCGUGCCUCACCUCCCCUGCUGGGCUGGUCUUGGAUUUUGUUCUCCAUUCCCUCUGGACAAUAGAAGACUGUUAGCUAUCCAGCUGCACCAGCAUCAGGAGAAAGAUCAAGCAGCCACCAACUCAGAAAUAGGCACAACAUGGAUUUUAAAGAUUAUUUUAGAGAUGGGAUAAACAUGUGGAAUCUAACAGUUCCAUGAUCUUCCAAGCUAGAGCUACCAACGGAUCACAGGCCUGUUCAGAACCAGGGAAGUGACCUCAACCAGCAGAUCCAAGAACUGACAAACUUCAAAAACCAAAUGACCUGACUGACACCACAAGGCCUAGGUACAUCCUGAGGUGAAAAAUCGGGUCUACUAAACCAGCAGAAAGAAAACCAAAUACUUACCCGAUAGAUCCAUGCUGCACCUCACCGCAUCAGCGGACUCAACCCAAACUGAAAAGUCUUUGCAGUCUGAAAUCGUCAUCCAGGCCCCAAGUACAGCAAGUGGAAACAGCCAGGAAUAUUUGAAAACCACAUAUUCCUCAGUGGUGAGCUAAAACUCCCAAGACCCAAAGUUCCGACCUAGCUAGCAGGGUGAAGAGGCGGGUGGUGACAGUGCAUUGGGACACCAAGGGUAGGAAGCAUGAUUAAAGUUUCUGUAAUUAAAACCAUUGUUUUUAAGUUCUAAUAGUGUUUAAUCUAGCGAAUAGUAUAUUUAAUAGCAUUCUUGUUCUCUGUAUAGUUGAUUGUGUCAAUUUCCCUGUUGAUUGCAUUUACCUAUAUUUCUUGUAUCAUACAUACCUUUUGUAUUUUAA